rnacentral:rRNA from 1 species
GUGGGGAAUCUUGCGCAAUGGGCGAAAGCCUGACGCAGCCAUGCCGCGUGAAUGAUGAAGGUCUUAGGAUUGUAAAAUUCUUUCACCGGGGACGAUAAUGACGGUACCCAGAGAAGAAGCCCCGGCUAACUUCGUGCCAGCAGCCGCGGUAAUACGAAGGGGGCUAGCGUUGCUCGGAAUUACUGGGCGUAAAGGGCGCGUAGGCGGACAGUUUAGUCAGAGGUGAAAGCCCAGGGCUCAACCUUGGAAUUGCCUUUGAUACUGGCUGUCUUGAGUACGGGAGAGGUGAGUGGAACUCCGAGUGUAGAGGUGAAAUUCGUAGAUAUUCGGAAGAACACCAGUGGCGAAGGCGACUCACUGGCCCGUUACUGACGCUGAGGCGCGAAAGCGUGGGGAGCAAACAGGAUUAGAAACCCGAGUAGUCC